ensembl:lncRNA
UUUUUCAUUUAUUUAAAUUUAUUUUAAGUGAUCCAUAAAAAGAAAAUUUGUACAUAUUAAUUAGAUAUAUUUCAGUACAUGUAUACACUGUAUAAUAUUUAAAUCAUGUGCAUUUCUUUCCUCAUCACUUCUUCAUAAUAAAAACGUCAAAUAUUUUCUUCUAAUUUUCAUGUAUCGUACAUUAAUGAUGAUCUACAGACACGUAACUAUGUAAUAGUACAACAGAACUUUCUUCUAAGUAACUACAACUUAGUGACCCUUGUUUGACCUUUCCCCAUUCGAGUAUCUCUCCCAAGAUUUUGAUAACAACUUGUAUGAGAUCAUUUUUCACUGGAUUCCACACGAACAGAAAUCAUGCAGUGUUAAUGUGUGACUGGCUUGUUUCACUCGCUUAACAAAUCUUUUGUUCCAUCUGACUGUGUCACAGAUGACAGGAUUUCAUUCCUUUGUAUGGCUGAAUAGUAAUCUAUCAUAUAAAUGCACCAUACUCUUUAUACAUUUAUCAUGUGAUGUACACUUUGGCUGUUUCUAGUUUUUAAUUAUUGAGAAUACUGCUUCAAUGAACGCAUGAGUGCAGAUGUCUCCUCAGCCUGGUGAUUUCAUUCUCUCUGCUUACAUACUCAGUAGUGUGACUGCUAGAGCAAAAGGAAUUUGCGUUUAAUGAAUGGCAUUCAGAAAAAAAUGGUAAGUAGAUUGGAUCAGUAGAAGGAUCACUCUUCCAGAAGACAGGAAGCAGCCUAGAAAGGCUUUAGCAACCUGGGACAGGCAGAUUCCUUGACUAAAGCUGGACAGUGUUAGUACUCACAGUUGGGCAAAGGCAUGAACGAAUAGGGUCUUUAGAUCAGUUUAAAACACUUGGAGCCUGACCCAGAUAUGAAUCAACAGCCCUUCAUGAUAGACAAUGGCACAGCAACACUUGCAGAAUUCCUAUAAACUUCCAAGUUCUCUGAAGGCAAAACCAACUUACAUUAAUAUGCACUGCCUGCCCUCACCACAAGAACAGCACAUAGGAAGUUGUACUUGAUUUUACAGCAGAAGUAGAAAUAAUUCUAAACUACACCCUUAGAUUUGCCAUAAGAAGCCAGCCCUGCCAGGAGUGGUGGUCCAUACCUUUAAUCCAGCACCCAGGAGGUAGAGGCGGGCAGAUCUCUCUGAGUUCGAGGGCAGCCUGGUCUACAAAACCAGUUCUUGGACAGCCAGGAUGGUUACACAGAGAAACUCUGUCAUGAAAAAAACAAAAAACCCACCAAGUCUGGUAUUUUUUUACAGCAGCUCAAAUAAACUAAAAUAUUGAUUGGGAACAUAAACAAAUCUUGCUCAACAAUGACAUCACCUUUCCCUAACAAUAUCUGGCACUUGGUCAAGAGCCAAUUAUUUGGGAGAAAGCAUAAUGUAUAAUGGUUAUCUGAGUGACUGUAGAAUAAAGUAACUAUGCUAUCUCUGUGUGCUAUGGUGGGAGGUGAACAAUGCUGGUGAAGUUCAAGUAUAUUAAACAGCUCACAGAAUGCACUGAUAAUUAUGUGUGCUGAACAACUUAAUUUAAGCAUCUUCAAGAUGUGAUAUCAAUGGAAAAUGACUAAUAUGAGAAGCUAAGUGACAUUUACAAAUUAAUAUGAUAAGCAGUUUCAUAUAAGCUUACCACAAUGUUCAAAUAAUGGUAGACAAAGGGAAAAUAAUCAGAUUAAUAUAAAAAUAUUGAGAUGUAUAUAAUGGCUUUAUAAAUGGAAUAACUGCUUCAAGUCUAUAUUUUGCAUAGAAUCCUCCAAAUGUUGGAUAUACUCAUGCUAUUAUUUUUAUAAAUUGUUUGCUCUACAACUGCUAUAUUAAAUGUAAAUCUUCAGAAAAAUACAGCAGUCUUCCUUUAAGGGAGACUACGCUGGCCAAGUGUGGUGGUACAUGCCUUUAGUCCGGACACUAUGAGUUCAAGGACAGCCUAGUCCACACAGUAAGUUUCAGGACAGCUAGAGCUACAUAAUAGAGAAAGGGGAUGGGUUUGGGCCAAGGUCCUGGAGGGUGGACUUAGUGGAGAAGCUUACACAAACGUCAUGAAGACAUAAAAUAGAAUUAUAUAUAAUAAUCAAAAAGGUAGAAAUGAAGAAAAAGUAAGGUUAGAAGGAAAUAGCCAGAUGGUAGAUCUAAAAGUAAUCAUGUCAAUAAUUACACGACACGAAAACUAUCUAAACACUGCAACAAACGGCAGACACUGUCAAAAUGGAUUUUUACAAAGCAAGAUGCAUCUCUAAACAGAUCUAUCAUAAAUUCACAUGAAAACUGAAGCGUGUUAAAGUAAAUCUAGUCAAAGGAAAUCUGCAAUUGCAGCACAGAGUAUUAACAGAUAGAAAAUGGAACAUUUCAGGGUGGUUAAAGGGUCACAGCAUCAAGAGACUACAACCAUCCUAAGAGUCUACACAGCGAACAAGAGCACUUCAAAAUACACAAAGCGAAACCUUCAUAGAAUUCAAAGAAGAAAGAAAUACAACACUUCUAGUCUGAGCUUUCAACAUCCUUCUCCUAAUAAUCAAUAGAACAGGUAGAAAGAAUGAGGGAAGUGGAAUAUUUGAACAGCUUUAUCAACCAACUUAACCUGAAAUUCAUAGCAAACAACACAGAAUAUGCAUACAUUCCAAGUAAUCAUGUUGGUAGGAAGUAGACUUACCAACUAACAAUAGUUUAUGGACAAGAUCCUAUGUCUAAACAAUCUCCCAAAUUGAAAGAAUUCAAAUGCUAACAAUUAUAUUCUCUGACCACCAUGGAAUUAAACUUGGAAGCAAUAUCGAAGAGAAAUAUGGAAAAUGGUACGAAUAUAUUUGCAACUGGUUGAUGCUUCUAAAUGACCCUGGGUUGAAGAAAUAAAAAAGAAAAUAUUUUUACCUGAAUUAAAAUGAAAACAUAUCAAAAAUCAGCUUAAUCUUUACCGGAAGCUUUAUAUCAUUAAAUGCCUAUGUUAUAAAAAGAAGCAAUGUUGAAAAUCAAGGCAUUGACUCAGAAACUGUAGAGGUGGGCUCCAGCAAUCUGUAGCCCUCUAAAUAAUUAUGAUGCGCGCUGUACUUUGAGAAUAACAGCUUUGUGCUAUUUGCAGAUCAUUUAACUCGAGCUUGUAUUUUUCAAUAAAGAACUUGCACAAUUUAUACUGCUCUGAAGUUCACGCCACUAAAGUCAAUCUUACUUUUAGUAGUCUGUUAAUCUUCUGUUGACUUUAGAAAAUAGAGUCCUGCAAGUGAUUAGCCCUGCAAGUACGAAUUUGUUUGCUAAAACAUUCCAAAAUUCAGAGAUCAGAGUUAUAUCUGCAGGAGUGUAGGGCACAAACAUCAGAGGAGAAUAUGACCUUAUUGAAUUAUUCCUACUGUUUAUACUACGCUUCCUCGUGGGACUCAAAUGUAGUUAACUUUUAAUCAUGUUUCUUGCUGAAAAGCAACAGACAUUUGAAUCUAAAUGGUUAAUCGUAGAAAAAGAAUUUGUUUUAAAUGGCAUUCAAGUGGUAAGCCUUUCAUCCCAGAAGUCAGUGGAGGCAGUGAGAACAGGAGUUCAAAGUCAGAACUGACUACACAGCAAGUUCAAAGCUGGCCUAUGUACAAAAGACAUGAUUCAAAAUAAAAAAAAAAAGAAUUUGCUUAAAAUAUGGUUUUAUCCCUACAGAGUAGUUUGAAAUUAUCUCAUAUUCAAAGAAAAUACUGCAACCAAGAAAAGCACCAAUUCAAUUGAGUCGCAGCAAUUCUUAGGUUAAUGGGCAAAACAAGAAUUUUUUGAGACAAGAUCUGACUCAGUUACUUAUGCAGGUCUCAAAGUUGAAAUCCUCCUAGCACACCCAGGUUAGUGAGCAUUGUCUUUCCAACUGAUUCAGUGCAGUAACAACAUCAACAGAUCUGGUCUAUCUGAAUUUGUACUCACAUAACACCUAAUAACAAAUAUAAAUGUAACUUUUAGCACACUUUUAAUCCCAGGACUCAAGAGGCAAGAGAAUGUCUGUGUGUGUUCCAGGCUAGCCAGAGAUACACAAUAAGACCCUAUCUCAAAAAAGAGGGGGUGGGGGAGAGUUCAGGAAGAACUUGAAAGGCAGCAUUCUGCUCUGGAAGAACUGUUAGAUGGAUGUUACUUUUCGUACAUAAUAGUCUUCAAAAAGAAAGUAGGUGGGCAUGGUAGCAUACACUUUUAAUCCCAGUACUUGGGAAGCAGAGACUGGUGGAUCUCUGAGUUGGAAGCUAGCCUGGUCUUCAGAGCAUGUUCCAGGAUAGCCAGGGCUACACAGAGAAGCUCUGUCUCAAAGAAACAAGAACAACAACAAAAGUAAAAGUACAGUGGAGCUUAGCAGGCUAAAACCAUAAGGUAAAAUCCAUUCCAUGUACCCCAGGUUGCUUUCCUUCCUCUUCAGCUUCAGUCUAAGAGACUCCCUUGUACUUUUUCUUAUACUUUCGAACAUAGUCUCACAACAGCUGUCUAUUGGGCCAUGAGCCAUGUAAACUAAUCAAGUAAUCACCCAGCCACCACAGUAUCAGUGUAAAAUCGGAAUCUGGGUUUUAUAAGUUCAUUUCAAAAGUGCAAAGUCUGAUUCAAAGUUUGUUUCGUCUCCCUUUCAGAAGCUUAAAUAUGAACAGAUACAAAUCAUAUAUUU